rnacentral:rRNA from 1 species
AGCAGCCGCCACGGUAAUACGUAGGUGGCGAGUGUUGUCCGGAAUCAUUGGGCGUAAAGGGAGCGCAUGCGGGCAUGUAAGUCUUUCUUAAAAGUUCGGGGCUCAACCCCGUGAUGGGAAAGAAACUACAUGUCUUGAGUACAGGAGAGGAAAGCGGAAUUCCCAGUGUAGCGGUGAAAUGCGUAGAUAUUGGGAGGAACACCAGUGGCGAAGGCGGCUUUCUGGCUCGAAACUGACGCUGAGGCGCGAAAGCGUGGGGAGCAAACAGGAUUAGAUACCCGUGUAGUCCCUGUCUCUUAUACA